rnacentral:rRNA from 1 species
UGCUGCAUGGCUGUCGUCAGCUCGUGUCGUGAGAUGUUGGGUUAAGUCCCGCAACGAGCGCAACCCUUGUCAUUAGUUGCUACAUUCAGUUGGGCACUCUAAUGAGACUGCCGGUGACAAGCCGGAGGAAGGUGGGGAUGACGUCAAGUCCUCAUGGCCCUUAUAGUGGGGCUACACACGUCAUACAAUGGCUGGUACAAAGGGUUGCCAACCCGCGAGGGGGAGCUAAUCCCAUAAAGCCAGUCGUAGUCCGGAUCGUAGUCUGCAACUCGACUACGUGAAGUCGGAAUCGCUAGUAAUCGUGGAUCAGAAUGUCACGGUGAAUACGUUCCCGGGUCUU